UAUCAUACUACACCAGAAAUCUAACAAAAUACAAAUAGAACAAAAUAAUGAUAGAAUGUACACUUUAAGAUCAGCAAUUAGCUCAAACAAGUCGUCACUAUGCAUGAAUUCAGCUAAUCCUGGACCAUGCAUCCAACAAAAACUCAAACAUGAGAAAAAAGAAACAAAAGUUAAUGAAUGACACAUAUAACGUCAAAUUAAUAAUAAAAUAUGCAAUUAACAAGUCAACAUUAACGCCACAUAUAACAUCAAAUUGCACAACUUAAUAUACUCAAUACAUUAGCAUAAAUAACAUCACAUUGAACAAUGAAUUUAACACAUUCGAAUAGAUCAAUUUUAAGCUCACUAAUGGUUAAUUUAGCAUGUGAACAGCAUAUAAAUGUUUUGCAUUUACAGCAUGGUUUAAUCAACUUCAAGCAGGAAAUUAAAUGCUGUAAAUUUCCAGCAUUCAAAGUCAUUUAUGGACAGCAUUCAACUUCAAGCAGGAAACAAUAAUUAAAACUACCAUUUUUUUCAGACACCUAUUUUUUUCUUAAUUUAGGUUCUCUUAUUUAGUAAAUCAUAAUAAACAGCAUAAAACAACAAAAAGGUAACUCACAGACCACAUCAAUAAAUUUCAAACACAUAUAUUCUAGGAUUCAAUUAUACAAAUAUUUGCAAGAAAAUGUUGUUAAAUCAAAGGGAAAUACUCGAAAAAAAUAAAACACAUAACAGGCAAUAAACUAUCAAAAAAAUGACAACAUCCAAAGAUUUAAAAAAGACAAAUAUAAGAAGUGUUUCAUAAGGCUGAACACCGAAAAGUAUAACAAAAACACUAAAAAAAAAGAAGCAUAAAUCUGAUGGAUUAUAGAAUGAGUUAUGCUUUGUGGAUAAGUGAUCUUCAAAACCAAACCAACAAUAAUUUUAAUUGAUUAAAAAAAUAUAUGCACUUAAAUAGAUUUGAUUGUUUUUAUUAUUAUUAAUAAAGUCAAUAUUAUCUGGUUUAUUUCAUAUUUAUUGUUAUUUAAAAAAAAUUAUAUAUAAUAUUUAUAAAUAUUAAAUAUAAAAUAUUAAUCAAUAAUAUAAAAUACUUUUUAAUAAGCCUUGCAAAUACAAUCUAGCACUAAACAAUUUCAAAAUGAACAAGUAAAAAAAGUAUUCCAUAAAUUAAACAAUAAGAUCAUCCCAUACUAUCCAUAAUUCGAAAAAUUUAAAAAUAUGCCUUAAAUCCUUCUACUAUUAAAAAAUUUAGAAUCUAGUCCAUAUAUUUUUCCGAAUUCAAAAUUUAAGUCCAACUAUUAACGUUGUUUUAAAAUCUAAAAAAUAGAUAAACUAAAUUCUUGAAAAUAAAAGUAUAGAGAGUAAAUUUCAAAAUUUAAAAGCGUACAUGGGCUUAUGACAUAUUUUAAUCUUCUACAAAUCCAAAAUAAAGAAUAAAAUAUUUAACUUUAAAUCUAAAAUUAUAUUUUAAAAUUUAUUUUUUUAUCUACCGAUAUACCAUACUUCGGUCGGUAAAGGCGAAAUCAAUCGGUAAUCACUCAUAUAAUUAGUACCAACUAUAUUUUAUACUGGAAUAACAUUGACUACAUUUAAAAAUUGCUGAAAUCCAGACUCAAUCUUAAGUCACGCAAAUAAUAGUGGCUAGUUGAUUAAUAAAUUUGACUAUUAUGUAGGAUGGACCUAAAUAAUUAAGGAGAUCAAAAAAAUAUCAUUUAUGUUGUUUAAUUAAUAAGCAUAAAUUUAAUAUGCAAAAGGAAAUGAAGACAUAAAGUAAGAAAUCCAGUUCCCUUUUCAUGAAUGUCAAGACAAUGAGAGAAUAGUGCAGGAGAUAACAAACCUGGUUGGCGUAACUGAUACCCAUGUUUGCCCAAGCACGCACAUAGUUUGGCUUCAAAUCUAGUGCCUGAAGAUCCAAGACAUAGACCAAAAGACUAAAUUCAAUAGUGCUGAAAAUAUGGCCACCACAGGCAAAG
rnacentral:lncRNA from 1 species